CUGAGCGGCAGGGGCUGUAGCCAAUGAGCAUCUGGCCCGGCCGGGGAAGGCGGGCGUGUGGUAGCGGCCGAGCCGGCUGGCUGAGGGCGCGAGUCUCCAGGGCUGAGGUAAGAAGAUGUCACACGCCCAGAGUAGAUGGAAUUACUCACCGACCCAAGUUGGUUCGUAUCUCAGGAGCGACUAACUCCCUGCCCACAGUCCAUGGUCAGUCAAGUCGGGACACAAAGCCUGCGAUGGACAGCUCUUUGGCUGUAGAAACUUAGGGUGGUUCUCUGUGUAUGAAUGAAGAGGACCAAGGUGGGGAGGUUAAUUUACAUUUAAACUUAGAUUGGGGUAACCAGAGCAUGAGAUCUUCCAACUGGGCGGCCACAUGCGGUAUGACACGCUUUCUAAGAAACAUCAGAGGCUAUUUUCCCAUUAUUAUUGUGUGGGUUAAAUGGGAACGCAUGGAGUAAUUUAAGACGUGCCCCACCCCUGACUUACACUGUAAAUGUCAUGCCUAGCAAGGAACCAAGGAGAUAGUGAUAUCUUAGCCUUUUGUAGUUUAGUUUUUUUCCAAGUAAAAAGGAAAUUUAGAUCUACAUCAAAGGGGUUGUGUUUUCUGCAAGAUUAAAGCACGAGACUGGAAAAGAACCAAAUUUACAAUUGCACUGUAAGCCAAGUGGUGGUGCACGCCUUUAAUUCCAUCCCUCAGGAGGCAGAGGCAGGAGGAUGUAUGAGUUCGAGGCUAGACUGGUCUUGAAAAACAGAACCAACAAAAAUUCCCCUGACAAUGAAACAUUAGUCCUGUCUCCGGAAGAUAAAGUUGUGGUUUCAAUUUUUUUUUUUUUCCCUUAACGUUUCUGUUUUGCAAAGUUUUUCACUUAAUUAUUUUUUUUCUUUUGUAAACCAGUAGUUUUCAAGCUACACUGGUGAGAUCUUAUUCUUUAGUUUGUUGUUGUCUGCUGACUGGAAGAUUGACCUUGAACUGUUAGACCCCCGAAAACUCGAGUAUUUGGAGUCCCAGGCCACGUUCGCGGUCACCCCAAUCACCAGGCAGAUUCGAGAGCUUGCUGCAAACUGCACGAGGCUUUAUUGUAAUUUAACGAGCUAACCCCAUGUUAGCUCGGGUCUUUCACACACCCGACAUGGCGGACAGCUAGAAAAGAGGGGCUCCUUGGGUCUCCCAAAAGAUCUUAUAGGGCAGCAUAAGGGGAGUGUCUACGGGUACGCACAGGCUUACGCACAGGCUCACGAUUGGUGUGCUUCCAGGCUUGGAGGGCUUGCCCUGUGUUGAUUGGUCAACUGGUUGUUAUGGCUCAUAGCCCUCCCAGGGUGGUUGCGUAUGCUCUCUACGUCAUUGCUGUGCGCUUGUCUGUAAAGCACACCCAGGGUCGUAAAGCAUAGCGCCACCAGCUAACCUCUGAUUGGCUCCUUGUCACGAGAC
rnacentral:lncRNA from 1 species